UGCUAAGCUAACAUGAAAUGCUACCCACAGGAACUGAACCAGUGGACGUCCAGAGGUGAAAAUGGUGUCCAACAUCUGGUCUCAGUCUAGGGACGUCAGGAAAAGGUUCUUUGGUCUAAA